AGAUUUAUCAUCAGUUUCCUAGGAAAAAAUUGGAGAUCCAAAUUUCUUCUUUAUUUUGUCCGGCAAACAUAAUCUUUUGCUUUAGCUGACAAUAAAAGAAAAAACGAACCAAUAGACUGGACAUUUACUGCUUUUUUGGAGUUUUUCUAAAUUGCGGCAGGAAGCGUAUCUCAAAUUGGAAACUAAUCACUAAAUUACCAGUCAGUGGGCUUUUAACUGGAAUUUUUCUGAG